UUUGGUAUUAUUUUUCAUUCUAACUUGUUGGCUUGGUAAGAACAUAAUGGCCUUUUCAAAAUUCUUAAGCGAGGAGGCCAAGGGUCUAUAGGCAUAUCAAAUUCUAGUUGUGAGAAUCAAGAGGAUUCCAAUCGAAGUGAGUCAGAAUGUGGGCAAGUGAGAGCUGUGACUUCUUGCCAGUGAGAUGUACCAACGAGCGGGAUGGUUCGAGUUAAGAGGCAAAAAAAAUUGAGGCAAAAGUUCCAAAGGAAGGGACAACCUGAUAUGAGACUAGUCUGGAAAAAACCAAAGCAAUAAGAAAGAUUCAAGGCAAAUCAAGUAAGUGUCAUUCCAAUCUAAAUGAGUCAGAAUGUAGGCAAGUGAGAGCUGUGACUUUUUGCCAGUGAGAUGUACCAACGAGUGGGAUGGUUCGAGCUAAGAGGCAAAAAAAAUCGAGGCAAAAGUUCCAAAGGAAGGGACAACCUGAUAUGAGACUAGUCUGGAAAAAGCCAAAGCAAUAAGAAAGAUUCAAGGCAAAUCAAGUAAGUGUCAUUCCAAAUGCGCAAUAAAGGCGUUACAAGAAUGAAUAAGGGAGAAUGUCACGGGCCACAAUUAAAAGCUUGUGAAAAUUUCACAUAAUGCAUCCUAAGGAGGUCUAUCAGCUAGAUGAGGCUCAUUUGACCCAUAAAAGUUGGUCUGAUUCAAACAACUAUUGGUUAAGCCUAUCUAUUUGAAGCUUGGGUGUGGCCCAAUGAUGUCGAUAUGGAAAGUUAGACUAAUCUUAAGAUUAGAUAUGAUUUGAUUAUGUAAAUCUUAUAAAUCCCUUCAUUGUAGGGAUAGACUAAUUUCAUCUGUCGAUAUAACUUGAUCUAAACCAUCGAUUUUAAGAGAGCUCAACUAUAAAUACAAUUGAGAGCAUUUACUCAAACACCUCUCAUGCAUAGUUUUCUGUGACUAUUCUAUCCUUUUGAACAUUAUUUUGGCUUUGUGUUGUUUUCGUUAUAUAAAUUGGUAUAUUGGAGGAAUAAAGCCGCACAGAUUGUAAAGCAAAAAAUCAAAGUCCAUAACAAUAGAACUUACAAAUUCGAAACUAAGAUUACAACAAAAUAAAGGUUUUUAUAAAACAGAAUUUGACUUUUAAGCAUUCUGAAAUACAUCCAAACUAUGCGAAAAAGCUUUCAUCCUUUCUUAUUUGCUGUGACUCGUGUGAACUUGAUGCAUUUGAAACUUGUAUAAAAAAAUCAACAUCAAGCAAACAAAUUACAAAUUAGAAAAUGAAAACUCAAUAAGCAGUCAACACCCAUACAUUAUGCACCAAGGAUGAACAGGAAACACUCAGACAAAUUUAAAUCCCCUUCUAGCUUGUUAAUAAGAAGCAGAAAUCAAAAUUGUAGAGUGAAAUAAUAUUUGAACAUGAACAUAAAUCACUUUGUGCUAUAGGUGAUCCUAGGAUCCAACAAAGCCAUUCUCAAGUCUAUACAAGCAAACAGUAAAGCAUUUACUACACUAUACACAAGUAAAAUGGAAAUGAUGUGUUAUAUAAGCAAGUAACAAGAACACCUUUCAAACAAGAACAUUGUAUCCAUUUUUUUAUCAAAGGUAUUGCUUAGCUUUUGAAGCUACACAUUAAGAUUAGAAUCAACAUAUGCAUAUCUUAAAAUAAAUUGAUACUAUUAUAUUUUACCUGUUUGUUGCCCCUUCGUUGGAUAUUGAAUUGAUGCCCAUGCUUGGCACGUGUGGAAACCUCGUUUGCAUGAUAGUUGUAUGGCCUUGAUGAAAGAGAUAUAAUCAUUAAACUCAAUGGCUUUUCUCAAAACUGAUAUCAGUAAAUACAACAGCCUGCACAACGAAAGAUGAAGACAAGGUUAUGCGAUGGAAUAGAAUAGAAUGUACAAAUCCUAGAAAUACUCGUGCAAUAUAGAGCAAGAUUUUAGCUCAAAUUGCAUACUAAUUUCUAGGUAAAUCACUUUCAGGAAAUUUGCAUCAUACAUAUUGUAAAUGCCCAAAUUAGACCGGGCCCAAUGAACAAACAAAACAGGCUCAACCCAUACCUUUUACAAUUCACAGCCCAAAUACAAAGCUCGAACUAUGACCCAAUCCAAAGCCCAACUAAACCUAACCCAAAGCCCAAAUUUAUCAGAAAAAAAAAGAAAAAACCCUAGGGUUCCUAUGCUAGGCGCUGUACCUCCCUCCCCCACGUGGUGUCAGCGCAUUUUGCGCCCGAACAGACGCCCGUCCCAUCGCCUCUGCUCACCUACUCUGACGUUACCUGCAAAACAAAGGAGAAGCACACAAAGCAGAAGGAAAGAGAGCGAAAAACAACAAACAAUAGAAGAGAGCAGAAAAUAUUUUCUAUGUAUUCGGCUAUAUAAGCCGAGGGAAGAACCAAAUGUAAGAGGGGAUUUCGGUAUACAAAAAAAAAUUGUAUUACAGGCAAAUUUUUUCAGAAGUAAAAAGCAAAAAAAUAAAAAGUUGAUUUUAAAUCUCAUUUUUGGGUUCUCUUUUUUCUUUCGGUUUUCUUUUUUAUUUAUUUUUCUGCUCUUUUAAAUUUCUUUUUCAACAAAAUAAAUAAAAGGAGAAAGAAGGAAAACUUACCCAAACCCGGGGGUUGCGUCGCCGGGAUCUUCUUUCCCAUCGUUAGAAUCGACGCAAGGAGAAGGUCGAGGCUCUUUUCUCCUCUUUUUUCUCCGAUUUAUGGAAGCUUCAUCAUCGAAUUAGCCUUCAAAAGGGUCAAAAACCCGAUUUCGUGAGGCUUUAACCACCGUCUACGGUGGAAGCCACAACGGGUUCACGGUGGGCCACAAAGAGGCGUGACGGCGGCGCAAAAGCUAGGGUUUCGAAACCCUAACAGAGAGAUGGGGGAGGGGCUACUGUUUGUUUCUGAAAAGAAAGAAAAUGAGGGUUUUUCCCUUUUUUUUU
rnacentral:lncRNA from 1 species